AUUAUAUAUUACCAAGAUUAAUGAAGUUUUGAAGAAUAAUUGCAAUAAUUAUAAAGAAAUAGGAGCCUACUUCUUCCAAAAUGAAUAUUUGAUCAAAUAUAGUAAAAGUAUGCCAUAGGUUCCACCUUCUGAGCUGAUUGAGCUCACCGGAAAUGUGGCAAAGAUUCUGAGAAAUGUUGUAAUUUAGAUGAUGCUCACCAAGUCUCAUGUACUUUAGAAAAAGAACUUGCUGGAAGCUUAUUUGAACCUUAUGCACUUGAAUUGAAGAGAAUAGGCCAAACUACUGGAAGAAAAUAAUUGGUCUUGCAAUUUUCUCAAAGGAAGGAAACAAUU